rnacentral:tRNA from 1 species
GCCGGAGUGGUGGAACUGCUAUACACGCGCGACUCAAAAUCGCGUGGGCGCAAGCCCAUGAGGGUUGGACUCCCUCCUCCGGCACCA